UUCGCCCUUAGAGUUUGAUCCUGGCUCAGGACGAACGCUGGCGGCGUGCUUAACACAUGCAAGUCGAACGAAGCUUGAUUUAUGAUUUCUUCGGAAUGAAUAAUGAUAUGACUGAGUGGCGGACGGGUGAGUAACGCGUGAGCAACCUGCCCUUCGGAGGGGGAUAGCGUCUGGAAACGGACGGUAAUACCGCAUAAAGUGUCUUGACCGCAUGAUCGAGAUACCAAAACUGAGGUGCCGAAGGAUGGGCUCGCGUUGGAUUAGAUAGUUGGUGGGGUAACGGCCUACCAAGUCGACGAUCCAUAGCCGGACUGAGAGGUUGAUCGGCCACAUUGGGACUGAGACACGGCCCAGACUCCUACGGGAGGCAGCAGUGGGGAAUAUUGCACAAUGGGGGAAACCCUGAUGCAGCAACGCCGCGUGAAGGAAGACGGUUUUCGGAUUGUAAACUUCUGUUCUUAGUGAAGAAUAAUGACGGUAGCUAAGGAGCAAGCCACGGCUAACUACGUGCCAGCAGCCGCGGUAAUACGUAGGUGGCAAGCGUUGUCCGGAAUUACUGGGUGUAAAGGGAGCGCAGGCGGGAAGCCAAGUCAGCUGUGAAAACUACAGGCUUAACUUGUAGACUGCAGUUGAAACUGGUUUUCUUGAGUGAAGUAGAGGUUGGCGGAAUUCCGAGUGUAGCGGUGAAAUGCGUAGAUAUUCGGAGGAACACCGGUGGCGAAGGCGGCCAACUGGGCUUUAACUGACGCUGAGGCUCGAAAGUGUGGGGAGCAAACAGGAUUAGAUACCCUGGUAGUCCACACUGUAAACGAUGAUUGCUAGGUGCGGGGGGUCUGACCCCUUCCGGGCCGCAGCUAACGCAAUAAGCAAUCCACCUGGGGAGUACGACCGCAAGGUUGAAACUCAAAGGAAUUGACGGGGACCCCGCACAAGCAGUGGAUUAUGUGUUUUAAUUCGAAGCAACGCGAAGAACCUUACCAGCACUUGACAUCCAACUAACGAAAUAGAGAUAUAUAAGGUGCCUUUCGGGGAAAGUUGAGACAGGUGGUGCAUGGUUGUCGUCAGCUCGUGUCGUGAGAUGUUGGGUUAAGUCCCGCAACGAGCGCAACCCCUGCCAUUAGUUGCUACGCAAGAGCACUCUAAUGGGACCGCUACCGACAAGGUGGAGGAAGGUGGGGAUGACGUCAAAUCAUCAUGCCCCUUAUGUGCUGGGCUACACACGUAAUACAAUGGCCGUUAACAAAGGGAAGCGAUCCCGCGAGGAGGAGCAAAACCCAAAAAACGGUCUCAGUUCGGAUUGUAGUCUGCAACUCGACUACAUGAAGCUGGAAUCGCUAGUAAUCGCAGAUCAGAAUGCUGCGGUGAAUACGUUCCCGGGUCUUGCACACACCGCCCGUCA
rnacentral:rRNA from 1 species